AACCUGGUUGAUCCUGCCAGUAGUCAUACGCUCGUCUCAUUAGAUUAAGCCAUGCAUGUCUAAGUAUAAACGAUUUUAGUACUUGUGAACACUGCGAAUGGCUCAUUAUAUCAGUUAUACUUUAUUUGAUAGUCCCUUACUACAUGGAUACCCGUAGUAAUACUAGAGCUAAUACCUGCAUAGACUCCCAACUAGCUUCGGCGGACGGGACGUAUUUAUUAGAUUCGAAACCAAUGCGGGGGA
rnacentral:rRNA from 1 species